GAUGAAGAACGUAGUGAAAUGCGAUAAGUAAUGUGAAUUGCAGAAUUCAGUGAAUCAUCGAAUCUUUGAACGCACAUUGCGCCCCUUGGUAUUCCGAGGGGCAUGCCUGUUCGAGCGUCAUUAUAACCCCUCAAGCUCAGCUUGGUGUUGGGGCCUGCUGCACUGGCAGCCCUUAAAAUCAGUGGCGGCGCCAUCUGGCUCUAAGCGUAGUAAUUCUUCUCGCUAUGGAGUCCUGGUGGAUGCUUGCCAUCAACCCCCAAUUUUUCUAUGGUUGACCUCGGAUCAGGUAGGGAUACCCGCUGAACUUAAGCAUAUCAAUAAGCGGAGA
rnacentral:misc_RNA from 1 species